rnacentral:lncRNA from 1 species
GGAGGUAGGAAACUUAAACAGAGGAAAUAUAGAAGAAGCCAGUGACUUAUACCUGGUUCAUAAUUCAAAUCCUUUGAAUUACGUACGAUCUCAACUCGGAAGUUACUACCGGAUUUCUCAAGGAUUAUUUCUGGUGAGGGUCUCCUGCGUAUCUGACCGGGUUAGACGUUCCAUUAUGAGUUUAUUAUUAUUAAGGCUAUAUGCAUGAUAGGGUAAUGUCCGUUUAAUCUUAAGAUUUUAUAUGCUUC